rnacentral:misc_RNA from 1 species
ACAAACUUGGUCAUUUAGAGGAAGUAAAAGUCGUAACAAGGUUUCCGUAGGUGAACCUGCGGAAGGAUCAUUAAUGAAUAAACUUGGUCAAGCUGUUGCUGGUCUUUCGAGACAUGUGCACGCUUGCCACCAAUUUUAACCACCUGUGCACCUUUUGUAGACUUGGAAACGUUUUCUCGAGGCAACUCGGAUUGAGAACUGCUGUGCGCAAGCCGGCUUUUCUUGUGUUUCUCAGUCUAUGUUUUCAUAUACUCCUAAUGUAUGUAUCGGAAUGUAUUGCUAGGCCUUAGUGCCUUUAAAUCAAAUACAACUUUCAACAACGGAUCUCUUGGCUCUCGCAUCGAUGAAGAACGCAGC